rnacentral:rRNA from 1 species
CCUACGGGUGGCAGCAGUCGAGAAUCAUUUACAAUGGGGGAAACCCUGAUGGUGCGACGCCGCGUGGGGGAAUGAAGGUCUUCGGAUUGUAAACCCCUGUCAUGUGGGAGCAAAUUAAAAAGAUAGUACCACAAGAGAAGAGACGGCUAACUCUGUGCCAGCAGCCGCGGUAAUACAGAGGUCUCAAGCGUUGUUCGGAAUCACUGGGCUUAAAGUGUGCGUAGGCUGUUUCGUAAGUCGUGUGUGAAACGCGCGGGCUCAACCCGCGGACGGCACAUGAUACUGCGAGACUAGAGUAAUGGAGGGGGAACCGGAAUUCUCGGUGUAGCAGUGAAAUGCGUAGAUAUCGAGAGGAACACUCGUGGCGAAGGCGGGUUCCUGGACAUUAACUGACGCUGAGGCACGAAGGCGAGGGGAGCGAAAGGGAUUAGAUACCCCAGUAGUC